UCUAGAACUUGAGAUAUGGACUGAACACUGAACAUUAUCUAGGCUGCGGGACAUAUUCCGACUACUCCGUUAUUGCUAAGAUUUGGACUUCCACACAGCAGAAUUGAGUGUUUUACUCCUCAUGAAUGUUUUAGGCCUAUGUCUUAGCUUUCUAGC
rnacentral:pre_miRNA from 1 species